rnacentral:rRNA from 1 species
UACAGAGGGUGCGAACGUUGCUCGGAAUUACUGGGCGUAAAGCGCGCGUAGGCGGCUUUGCAAGUCGAGUGUGAAAUCCCCAGGCUCAACCUGGGAACUGCAUUCGAGACUGCAUAGCUAGAGUAUGGGAGAGGGAAGUGGAAUUUCAGGUGUAGCGGUGAAAUGCGUAGAUAUCUGAAGGAACAUCAGUGGCGAAAGCGACUUCCUGGACCAAUACUGACGCUCAUGUGUGAAAGCGUGGGGAGCAAACAGG